AAGUCGUAACAAGGUUUCCGUAGGUGAGUAGACGAUCUUUCUCUACUUAUGAUUAUAUGCUAACUGUGAUAAUAGGUGAACCUGCGGAAGGAUCAUUACUGUAACUGUCGGUUGGCUCUGCCCGCACGACAUUACCCCUGUUUUUGUGCACUCUUGUUUCCUCGACAGGCUUGCCUGUCGAUAGGACUACUCUACAACAACUUAUGUAGUAAUCAACGUCAGAAAAAUGUAAUAUUUACAACUUUCAACAACGGAUCUCUUGGCUCUC
rnacentral:misc_RNA from 1 species